UACGUCGGGGGCAAGCGUUGUCCGGAUUUAUUGGGCGUAAAGAGCGUGUAGGCGGCCAAGCAGGUCCGCUGUGAAAACUCGAGGCUCAACCUCGAGAGGUCGGUGGAAACCGUUUGGCUAGAGUCCGGAAGAGGAGAGUGGAAUUCCCGGUGUAGCGGUGAAAUGCGCAGAUAUCGGGAAGAACACCCGUGGCGAAGGCGGCUCUCUGGGACGGUACUGACGCUGAGACGCGAAAGCGUGGGGAGCGAACAGG
rnacentral:rRNA from 1 species